rnacentral:rRNA from 1 species
UAGUCUGCAACUCGACUACAUGAAGCUGGAAUCGCUAGUAAUCGCGAAUCAGAAUGUCGCGGUGAAUACGUUCCCGGGUCUUGUACACACCGCCCGUCACACCAUGGGAGUUGGGAAUGCCCGAAGCCGGUGACCUAACCGAAAGGGAGGAGCCGUCGAAGGCAGGCUUGAUAACUGGGGUGAAGUCGUAACAAGGUACC